GGCCAAGGUGGGAGGAUCAUGAGGUCAGGACAUCGAGACCAUUCUGGCCAACAUGGUGAAACCCCGUCUCUACUAAAAAUACAAAAAUUAGCUGGGCAUGGUGGCACAUGCUUGUAAUCCCAGCUACUCAGGAGGCCAAGGCAAGAGAAUCACUUGAACCAGGGAGUCAGAGAUUGCAGUGAGCCGAGAUCACACCACUGCACUCCAGCCUGGCAACAGAGCAAGACUCCGUCUCAAAAAAAAAAAAAUAAAAUACUAUGACCAAUUAAAUGACAGCAAAAUGAAUGUGUGAGAGGGCAUAUAGUUUUCCAAAAUGUAAUGAGUAUGAAAGGAAUAAUAGUUGAACCUCCCUGUCCUGGAAACAAAAGUAAAGAGUCAGUGUUUCGUUAUGUCAAAUGCUAGUGAUAGAGCAAGUGAGGUGAUGAAAAUGGAUUAACUGAUCCGCUGAAAAUGGAUGAAUGGAUUGAGCAAUAAUAGAAAGGUCAUCAGUAACCUUAACAAGAGCAAUGUUGAUGGAUUGCAGUGCGGAAUCCUGGAAGUGAGAUCAAAAGAGCAUGGGAACAGAAGAUAGGAAAACAAUACAGACAGCUAUUUCAAUGAUUCUUUUCUGUAAAGGGGCACAGAGAAAAGGCAUUGGUGCUGGAAGGGAUUUGCAUGUUCAAGAAAGAGUUUUAUUUAAAGUGAGAGAAAUUACAGCAUGUUUGACUGUAUGAUAAUAAGAAUGGUCUAGCCUGGCAUGGUGGCUAACACCUGUAAUCCCAGCACUUUGGGAGGCUGAGGCAGGCAGAUCAUGAGGUCAGGAGUUGACCAACAUGGUGAAACCCCGUCUCUACUAAAAAUACAAAAAUUAGCCAGGCAUGGUGGCACACGCCUAUAAUCCCAGAUAGGAGGCUGAGGCAGGAGAAUCACUUGAACCUGGGAGGCAGAGGUUGCAGUGAGCCGAGAUCACACCACUGUACUCCAGCCUGGGCAACAGAGUGAGACCCCGUCUCAACAAAAAAAAACAACAACAAAAACAACAACAACAACAACAACAACAAAAAGAAUGGUCUAGAAGAAAGAAGACUGGAAUGAUGAAGCAGAAGAGAAGGGAGGCUUACAUAACAUCUUGCGGUAAUGAAAGGGGAUGGAAUCUGGUAUAGGAUCCAGAUCCAAUGGAGUCUCGCUCUGUUGCCCAUGCUGGAGUGCAAUGGCACGAUCUUGGCUCACUGCAACCUCUGCCUCCCAGGUUCAAGUGAUUCUCCUGCCUCAGCCUCCUGAACAGCUGCGAUUACCGGCGCGCACCACCAUGCCCAGAGAUAUUAAGGCAGAGAGCAGUUAAAUAACUUGCCAAAAAUUCUCAACAGGGACAAGGUCUUGCUAUGUUGCCCGGCCUGGUCUCAAACUCCUGGGCUUAAGCAACCCUCCCCAGUCCUGCCACCAUAGCCUCCCAAAGCCCUGGGAUUACAGGUGUAAGCUGCAAGAACUUCUUGAAAGGCAAUUCAACAUAGUGUUUAAAAGCAUGCAGGAGUCCUGGGUUCAAAUCUCCAUUCCAGCUCUAUCCAGGCCUCUGAGCCCAAGCUAAGCCAUCAUAUCCCCUGUGACCUGCACAUAUACAUCCAGAUGGCCUGAAGCAACUGAAGAUCCACAAAAGAAGUGAAAAUUGCCAGUUCCUGCCUUAACUGAUGACAUUCCAGCAUUGUGAUUUGUUCCUGCCCCACUCUAACUGAUCAAUUAACUUUGUGACAAUACACCCUCCCCACCCUUGAGAAGGCACUUUGUAAUAUCCUACCCCAACCCACUGCCCUUAAGAAGGUACUUUGUAAUAUUCUCCCCACCCUUGAGAAUGUACUUUGUAAGAUCCACCCGCUGCCCACAAAAAAAUUGCUCCUAACUCCACUGCCUAUCCCAAACCUAUAAGAACUAAUGAUAAUCCCACCACCCUUUGCUGACACUCUUUUUGGACUCCGGCUGCCUGCACCCAGGUGAUUAAAAAGCUUUAUUGCUCACACAAAGCCUGUUUGGUCGUCUCUUCACACGGACACACAUGACAUUUGGUGCCGAAGAGCUGGGACAGGAGGACUCCUUCAGGAGACCAGUUCCCUUGUCCUCGCCCUCACUCCAUGAGGAGAUCCACCUAUGACCUCGGGUCCUCAGACCAACCAGCCCAAGGAACAUCUCACCAAUUUCAAAUCAGCCAAAAUCCACAGUGAUCCACAUAAUACUCAGGAAUCACCCAGAAGGGAUUUCUAUCUGAAAGGAGAAAGAAGCUCUGGGGCAUGAAUAUACGUUGUCUUGUAAAAAAAUAAAUCAGUAAUUCAUGUGUGUAUAUUUUAUACUCAAUGGGAAAAAAUGUUUUAUUUAAAAAAACACUCAAUAUUUUACAUGACAUUGUGAAAAGGCAGCACGGAAUUACUCAUUUGCUUCCUUUUUUAAAGUUUUAGAUGAAAAAUAAACAUUUAAUCCCAUCACUUGUUCUUAAAUGUAAUAUUAUUUUGUUGUCCUUUACACCCCAGUUGUCACAGGUCAGAAACCCUGAGAGAAGCCAAGAUUGCUAAAAUGAAACUUUACUUCUAGAAACAACCCCAGAAUUAAAUGUUUCUCCACUUGGCAUGGAAUUUGAAGAUUGACUUUGAAUGCCACCUUGGAAUCUAGCAUUAGCCAGUUACUGCAAUAAAGAACAAAGGAAGGCUCAGAGGAAGUUGUAGGAAACCUCAGUGUGUCUGAGAUGACCUGCAGCAGAGGCCAUGCAACAAGGUCCCACCCCUGGGGACCUGGAGAUGUCACCUGAUAAUUACGGUUUUGGUGAAUAGUGAUAAAGAUGCCAAAAACAGUUUUACCAGCAAGCAUGACUACCUAGCAAUAGGAUUAGACCUGUGGUAACUUUGUAACUUUGGUCUGAUGUCAUAGUUUUGUGUGUGUGUGUUUUUUUGUUUGUUUGUUUGUUUUUGGUGUGACCGGAGUUAGUAAAAGCUGAGAGAAGUAGAAAGAUGAAAUAAAACAAACAGUCCAAGGUUACCCUGCAAAAAUUAACUCCAAGCCUGAGAAUCAGUAUGCAGAAAAAAUAGCAACGUGUAUAGUGUCAAUUUCUUUUUGUCAGCUCCAGUUUAUGAGAAGAAAAUGAUGGUAAAGAGUAUAGCUAAAAUUUUGGUCUUCUUUCAAGGUUUGCCAUGUAGAUAAAUGUGUCUAGGAGUUUGUAAACCACAAAACAACAGGGAAACUCAAUCCUCAAAACCUUCCAUUUACAAAUGAAAGCCUUCUCUUUACAGGGCUUACAGAAAUAACCAUACAAAAUUAGCCACUUACUGUUAUUUAUAACCACAUGGAAUAUGGCAAAAUAAUUUUGGCUUGAUUCUUAUUCCUGUUUAUACUGAUAAUCCCAACUGCCAUAUAUUCAAAUUCCAGAUAGAUGAGGCACUAGAGGUCUUAUGGAGUCUCUUUCUCUCUUUUCCUUUUUCCUUACCCAGUACUUUUUUUUUUUUACCCUUUCUCCUUGUAGUUCUGUGUGAAAUAUAAAACAAUUUUUGAAAAUGAUGAAACACCCUGCAUAAUUAGAUUUCAUCAUUUGUUCUCUUGCUUCUUUUGCCCCUCAUUGUAUAACAAUUGCAG
rnacentral:lncRNA from 1 species